GACGAACGCUGGCGGCAUGCCUAAUACAUGCAAGUUGAACGAUGAUAUUCUCUGCUUGCAGAGAAUUGAAGAGUAGCGAACGGGUGAGUAACACGUGGGGAACCUGCCCAUGAGAGGGGGAUAACAUUCGGAAACGGAUGCUAAUACCGCAUAAUGCUUUGGACCGCCUGGUCCAGAGACGAAAGACGGCUUUUGCUGUCACUCAUGGAUGGCCCCGCGCCGUAUUAGCUAGUUGGUGAGGUAAUGGCUCACCAAAGCUGUGAUACGUAGCCGACCUGAGAGGGUGAUCGGCCACACUGGGACUGAGACACGGCCCAGACUCCUACGGGAGGCAGCAGUGGGGAAUCUUCCACAAUGGGCGAAAGCCUGAUGGAGCAAUGCCGCGUGAAUGAAGAAGGUCUUCGGAUCGUAAAGUUCUGUUAUUAGAGAAGAACAAGUCAAGGAGUAACUGUCUUGACUUUGACGGUACCUAACCAGAAAGUCACGGCUAACUACGUG
rnacentral:rRNA from 1 species